UUGGUGUAAUUUGGGGUAGCAGUGGUACAUAUAUGGAUCCUAAAUGAUAACAGGUUGAUGCCUUUAUCACAUAUAUGAUCGAACAACAAAUUUAUAUUAGGUGACUUGCUUAAACUUUUUUGUUCAGAUGCUUAUCUGUUCUGUCAAAUAGGUAGACAUGCUUGGAUUGGAUGCAUAUCUCGGUUGAGGCUACUUUGGUGCUUUGCUUUACAUGAUCAUUGCUUCACUUGUUUGCUGAUGAUGGAACAAUCGUUGCAAAAUCAAGGGAUGAUUCUGAGCCUCCUUUGGUUAUUACUUGGACGGAUUUGAAUAUGUAGCUAGUGCAGUAUUUAAACUCAAGGUAUCGUAGGUGAGUUUCUCCACAUGUAAAGCUUUCUUAUUAGAUAUAAAGUUCAGUUUGCAUUGGACACAAAAAAGAAUUACUUGUCGCUGUGUGUAUGUGUCUGAUGUGGAGUAUAAGUUAUUUAUCUUUCAUGUGUUGCUCUUGGAGGCUACAACUACUGUCAGCAUGUUUUUUUUAAUGUUUCUAUCAAUAUUGCUAUAGCUUAGCAGAGGCUGCAGCUGCUUGCUAUAUUUGGCUGUUGUGGCAUUAUGUGUAACACACCCCACUACUUAUGGUGCAUGGAGAUGGUGCCUUCCUCUGCAUGAAUGAAUUUGCAAGGCAUCCACAUGCUGACAGAUUUUUGUGUCUCGAGGUGUGAAGUUUUGUCGCCUUUGCAAGGUGUGAUGGUCUCAAGCAUCAACAUGGGAUCAAAUGAACAAAGAGAACCAUGUGUAGCAUCAUGGGAUGCAUGGUGCAACAGGAUGUAGAUAUGUUAACAAAACAAGGAGGUUUACUAAAGCAAGUUGUAUAUCUACAGGAGUAGUAGUACCUCACAUAUGCAUAUUAACUAGUAAGAACAACAUAUGAUAGUAAUAACAAUAGAUCUUUAGUAAGAGCAUAAUCUGAAUUGCUUAUCAGGUAACAGAAAAUAAUAUAUUACUACUAAGAACAAAUCUGCUUGGUUCUAUUUCUAAUCAUUGUGUAAUUUUUGGCAACAUGAAAUUCUGUGUAAUUAGCUUCUAUAUUUGUGUGUUUUGCUCAAAGGCUGAUGAUAUUUUGUUU